rnacentral:misc_RNA from 1 species
GAUGAAGAACGUAGCGAAAUGCGAUAAGUAGUGUGAAUUGCAGAAUUCAGUGAAUCAUCGAAUCUUUGAACGCACAUUGCGCCCUUUGGUAUUCCAAAGGGCAUGCCUGUUCGAGCGUCAUUUGUACCCUCAAGCUUUGCUUGGUGUUGGGCGUCUUGUCUCUAGCUUUGCUGGAGACUCGCCUUAAAGUAAUUGGCAGCCGACCUACUGGUUUCGGAGCGCAGCACAAGUCGCACUCUCUAUCAGCAAAGGUCUAGCAUCCAUUAAGCCUUUUUUUCAACUUUUGACCUCGGAUCAGGUAGGGAUACCCGCUGAACUUAAGCAUAUCAAUAAGCGGAGGA